ensembl:lncRNA
AGUGUUUUGCGUCUUGGCAGUGUAGACGGAAAUGCUACGGCGGAGCGUAUUCAACUUUUCCACUCUGGAGGGUGGUUUCAGAUUUAUGCGUUUUCAUGCCCCAAAAACGCCGUCACCGUCUAAACGCCAGCAGAAGACACUGGAGAUUUGGCUCCCUCAUCUUGGUAUGCAUGGGUAAACAUGAAGACAAGGCGGGUAGUGGUACAAGAAGCAGGUUCCCCCCUGCACACCUUUUAGAAUGACUGCAUCCCUGCACACCGCAAAACCCUUACACCA